rnacentral:lncRNA from 1 species
GUUGUGGCACUAAGCAACUAGUCAGCGUGAGCUUUUGUUGUUGUUAGCUUUCGUUUUCUUGUUCAUAGAUAGCGGAGAUCAUUUGGAAAAAGCUUGGUUGCUUGUAGACAUGUUGUUUAUUUUCUCUCCCACUUUUGAAUCACCAGUUAUGUUUUUUCCCUCAGGUAGCCAAUGAUCAUGUGCAACUUUGUUGUAACAAUGGGUACAGUGGUGGUUUUAGGUUUCCUUUUAGUGUAGUAUUUUUCAUUUUUAAUACUGUAAAUCUUCUGGGACUUCCAUAGGCUUCAUAUCAAUUCUUCCUUUUAAAGGAAGCAUCAAGGAAGUGUUUAUAUCUUCUAUACCUGUGAUCUCUCACAAGCUACCCAUACCAUUGAAUCCUGAGAGAAAGUAUAUUUGCAGAAAAACCAGUUUACCUAGAUUGUUCUGCACCUGUUAUGGAAUAUAAGUGUUUAUACAGCUUUGAAAACCUUAGAUUUUUUUCAAAAUAGUCUUUUUUCCUCAGCUUACCUCACCAGUUUGAGAAAUGACAUUAAGUAUAACUAAUUCAGUUUGGGAUUUAAUUAUACAAUUAAAUUAUGAUAGUUGCACAGUUCUGUGAACAUACUAAAAAACAUUGAAGGCCGUUGUUUUUUAAAAUCUGUAAUAUAGCAAGUUAAGGACUAUGUCCUUAAUCCUCUUCUCCCAAUUCUCCAGUUUUAAGGUUGAGUAAAUGGUAUAACAAUUAUACUUACUUUUCAGUGAGCCAAAACUGACUUAAUAUUACUAAAAGUUUUUUUAAUCAAUAUCAGAUUACAGAAGUAAUGUAUAGUAUUAAAUA